AGAGUUCGAUUCUGGCUCAGGAUGAACGCUAGCUACAGGCUUAACACAUGCAAGUUGAGGGGAAACGAUAUUGGAAGCUUGCUUCCGAUAGGCGUCGACCGGCGCACGGGUGAGUAACGCGUAUCCAACCUGCCCAUCACUUGGGAAUAACCUUGCGAAAGUAAGACUAAUACCCAAUGAUAUUUAUAGAAGGCAUCCGAAAUGAAUUAAAGAUUUAUCGGUGAUGGAUGGGGAUGCGUCUGAUUAGCUUGUUGGCGGGGUAACGGCCCACCAAGGCGACGAUCAGUAGCCGGUCUGAGAGGAUGAACGGCCACAUUGGGACUGAGACACGGCCCAG
rnacentral:rRNA from 1 species